CAAAAUAAAUCUGGAGACAGUUUCCUUGUUCAGAAGAUUGUGUUGGGAUUAGAGUCAUUUUGGGGUAGAAAUCUUCCCUUUCGUCAACAGAACGGUUUAAAAGACUCUCUUUAAUGGCAGGCCUGUGGUUUCUUAGAAGAGUUGAUGCUUUUCAUUGAAGAAAAGGCCUUUGUUUAAAGAAGACAAAAAAGUCAAAAGAGCUCCUCCAACGAUGG